rnacentral:rRNA from 1 species
ACGGCUCAGUAACACGUGGCUAACCCACCCUUGAGACGGAGAAAACCCCGGGAAACUGGGGCUAAUCCCCGAUAGGAGAAGACACCUGGAAGGGGUCUUUUCCCAAAAGGCGCUUAGAUCAUGCUUCUAGACGCCGCUCAAGGACGGGGCCGCGGCCGAUCAGGUUGUUGGUGAGGCAAUGGCUCACCAAGCCUAUAACCGGUACGGGCCGUGAGAGCGGGAGCCCGGAGAUGGGCACUGAGACAAGGGCCCAGGCCCUACGGGGCGCAGCAGUUGCGAAAACUCCGCAAUGCACGAAAGUGUGACGGGGCUACCCCGAGUGCCGUCCGCUGAGGGCGGCUUUUCCCCGGUGUAAGGAGCCGGGGGAAUAAGGAGAGGGCAAGUCUGGUGUCAGCCGCCGCGGUAAUACCAGCUCUCCGAGUGGUAGGGAUGAUUAUUGGGCUUAAAGCGUCCGUAGCCGGCCUAGCAAGUCUUCCGUUAAAUCCAACGAUUCAAUCGUUGGACUGCGGGAGAUACUGUUGGGCUAGGGGGCGGGAGAGGCUGACGGUAUUCUCGGGGUAGGGGUAAAAUCCUAUAAUCCCGGGAGGACCACCAGUGGCGAAGGCGGUCGGCUAGAACGCGCUCGACGGUGAGGGACGAAAGCUGGGGGAGCGAACCGGAUUAGAUACCCGGGUAGUCCCAGCUGUAAACGAUGCGGGCUAGGUGUUGGAGCGGCUACGGGCCGCUUCAGUGCCGCAGGGAAACCAUUAAGCCCGCCGCCUGGGGAGUACGGCCGCAAGGCUGGAACUUAAAGGAAUUGGCGGGGGAG